GCAAACUUGGUCAUUUAGAGGAAGUAAAAGUCGUAACAAGGUCUCCGUUGGUGAACCAGCGGAGGGAUCAUUAGAGAGUACGGUUUCUUCGGAAGCUAGACCUCCCUUCUAAACCAUUGUGUAUCUUACCUCGAACUGUUGCUUCGGUGGGCGGCCCCAGGGAGGGGCCACAGCCUGUUGGGUCGGGCGCCCGCCGGAGGAUUCCAAACUCUUGCGUAACUAGUUGGCAUCAGAGUACAGACACAAAAUGAGUCAAAACUUUCAACAACGGAUCUCUUGGUUCUGGCAUCGAUGAAGAACGCAGC
rnacentral:misc_RNA from 1 species